GCCAUUGUAGUGCAGAGGUUUGAGUGUCUGACAAGGACUCUGAGAACCAAGGUUCAAAUCCUUUCUCUGUCA